rnacentral:lncRNA from 1 species
CACACACACACACACACACACACACACACACACACACACACACACACGACUAGUUACACCAUCAUCCUGUCUAUGGUAUCUUAUAUUUCUAUAGCAUCUUUGCUUGGGAAACAACUCCACAGAGCUAAAUGUAUCAGCGGCCAGAAGUGUUGCAGUUGUCUUGGUAAAGAAACAUUUAGUGUACCUCCCAAAUGGCACCCUGCUCCCUAUAUAAUGUACUACUUUUGACCAGAGCCCACCAGGUUUAUGUCAAAAGUAGUGCUAUUUAUAAGGAAUAUGGUGCCAUUUGGGACGCACCAUUGAUCAUAGGAAGAGUUGACAAUGGCACAAAUUUCUGUUGUUUAAAUGUUCUUUAGAGAAACACUAAGAAGGCCAAUUCACAGAUGGAGAAAGAGACCUCUAUCAAAAAACUUGACCAUCAUUGUCUGGCUCACACCCAGAACAUAAUAAUACUAACAAAAAACAACAACACCCUGUUGUUACAAUUAUUUCCACAGCUGUUUCCAUAGUUACGUACUGUACGUGUGAUGCUUUAUUUACUUGUGUUGUUAUGGCAAUCUUGUUGUAUUUUCCACGUUGGUCUGUACAGUGGUCCAAUGUACACGUUGGUCAUGUUCUGUGUAGUGUGUGUGUGUGUGUGAGUGUGUAUCAGGAUGCAGUGGGGUAGGGUGACAGAGGAAACAUAACUCUCUCUCUCUCCUUCACUGAUCCACUUUAUCUCUUUAGAUUGAGAUGUUUUUUUAUUGUCACAUACACCCAGUUUAACAUAGAAAAGAUAAUUCUACCACAAAUACACACACGCAAUAUUUGAGUGUGUGAGAGCGCCAAAUACACACAAACACACAAUAUGUGAUUGUGUGAAAGCUUCAAGUACACACACACACAAUACCUGAGUGUAUGAGAGAUUCCGUGAAUGCAAGAGCAUGAGAGUCCUUCUGCGAGAAUGGUAAUUAGGCUAAGGAUGGUGUGUGUGUGUGUGUGUGGUCUCAAGGGAUGGGAAGUUCACAAGCAUCCAUUCCUAUAAACCUGUCACCAAAAAAUGCAACACAAAUGAACAGAACUAAAAAACACAGCAGGACUUAACUCUCAGACACACAGAGACACCUACUGUACAUAUCAGGGUCACAUAUCAACAUGUAUGUGCAUAUGAACAUGUGAUGUAUAUGCCCUGUUAUAUUGAAAACACACACAAGCACAUACAUGCCUGCACGUACACACACAUUAAUUCAAAGAAACAUAAAGACAAUGUGCAUCCCAAAAGGCACCCUAUUCCCUAUAUAGUGCACUAUCUUUGACAAAAAUAAGUGUAUUAUAAAGGGAAUAGGGUGCCAUUUGGGAGACAAACGCAGAGAUUUUGAACCCUAAAGUAUACGGUCUAAGAAGAAGGCAUUAAGGACAUAUUGCUGAAAUAAAUACAAAUAAAUUAAAUUAUAUAAAACAGUGGGUUAAAAAACAUUAAAACUCUGUUAAAUUCAACAAAUCAUCAAUUAAUAAAACAAAAAACACAUAUCUUUAAAAAUAAUAAUCCAUACCAAGUCACAUCUGCUAAUAGAAAAAAUACUUUUGUACGGGUCCAAAAGACAGACAGUACUCUGACUACCUGUAGAUGGAGACAGACAGGUACAUUUGUAAACAACAGACAGAGUAAAAGACAUACAGACAGACACACAGACAGAAAGACAGACAGAGGUGGACGGAUCUCAAUUUAGACAUUCAGAAAUCAUGUCAGUAUGAGUGUAUGGAGGUGUAUGUAGUCUUGAGGAUGUGUUGGGGGGUAGGUGAAGAGGGAUGAAGAGGGGUGAGGAGAGGUGAGGAGGGGUGAAGCGGGGUGAGGAGGGUUGAAGAGGGGUGAAGAGGGGUGAGGAGGGGUGAAGCGGGUUGAAGCGGGGUGAAGAGGGUUGAAGCGGGGUGAAGAGGGAUGAAGUGGGGGGAGAGGGUUGAAGCGGGGUGAAGAGGGAUGAAGUGGGGUGAAGGGAGUUGAAGUGGGGGAGAGGGUUGAAGAGGGGUGAAGAGGGAUGAAGGGGGUGAAGAGAGUUGAAGUGGGGUGAAGAGGGUUGAAGAGGGGUGAGGAGGAAUGAAGUGUUGAAGCGUUGAAGAGGGGUGAAGGAAUGAAGUGUUGAAGCGUUGAAGAGGGGUGAAGCGGGAUGAAGAGGGGUGAAGAGGGGUGAAGAGGGGUGAAGAGGGUUGAAGAGGGGUGAAGAGGGAUGAAGAGGGGUGAAGAGAGUUGAAGAGGGGUGAAGAGGGAUGAAGAGGGGUGAAGAGAGUUGAAGAGGGGUGAAGAGGGGUGAGGAGGGGUGAAGCGGGUUGAAGCGGGGUGAAGAGGGUUGAAGCGGGGUGAAGAGGGAUGAAGUGGGGGGAGAGGGUUGAAGCGGGGUGAAGAGGGAUGAAGUGGGGUGAAGGGAGUUGAAGUGGGGGGAGAGGGUUGAAGAGGGGUGAAGAGGGAUGAAGGGGGUGAAGAGAGUUGAAGUGGGGUGAAGAGGGUUGAAGAGGGGUGAGGAGGAAUGAAGUGUUGAAGCGUUGAAGAGGGGUGAAGGAAUGAAGUGUUGAAGCGUUGAAGAGGGGUGAAGCGGGAUGAAGAGGGGUGAAGAGGGUUGAAGAUGGUUGAAGUGGGGUGAAGAGGGUUGAAGAGGGGUGAAGAGGGAUGAGUGAGGAGGGGUGAAGAGGGGUGAGGGGAGGGUGAGGUUGUGUGGUUGUCUGGGGGGUCAGAGGGGUGAAGGGGGCAGAAGUGGCUAUGGCCAAGGGGAUGAGUGGUAGGGGGUGCAGGGGGUAAAUCAGUAUUUCUAAAGUCUCACAGGAAGUCCUGUGGCACGGUGUCUGACAUCCCUUCCUGUUGCGACAGACAAGGUUGAUUGGCAGUGCUGCGGUGAUCCCCUCUAAAACCUGCCCUGGAUUAGCCCCCGCCGUCCAAAAUAACAAAAUAAAUAACUUUAUCGACAUCAGUUGGUUGGUGACAACAGUGCAGACAGAUAAACGGGGCUUCAUGGCAGUUUGACUGUAGCUCUAGGCUUGGAGCUGAUAGGUGGACUGACGCCCUCAUUUGAGAACUCACAGGGAAUCAGGAAGGGGGAAGCAGACGUGAUUGGUUUGCAUUGGGAGAGAGGCGGGGACUGGGGAGUGGACAGCACCAAAACAUGUCGGACAGUGAUAGCCGUUUGGGUGGGUAGGGAGUCAAACAGCUGUGUGUGUGUGUGUGCGUUCGACAUUGUGUGUAUUUAUGACAAUGUAGACUGAGUAUAUCUCAAUAAUGAUAUAGGUUGAUCCCAUUGAUCUUGUACUGUGUUGGUCAGCCAUUUGUCACUCUAAGCAUUGCCCUUGUGUAUAUGGAUGUGUACUGUAGAAGUGAGAGUAUGUGUGUGUGUGUCAGUAAAUGUACAUGUGAGAGUAUGUCUAUGUCUAUGUGAGUGAGUGUGUGUGUAACCCUGUACAUCAAUGUGUGUGAGAUGCAAGUCCCUGUGUGUAGAGUGGCGGUUGAGGGGUCAGGCUCAGACUGGGAUGAGACUCCGUCUGGGAGAUAUGGGUCAUCCUGGUUUGGGGGACAGUAGUUGAAGUUGGGAGGUUAUAGCUGGGUUUAGUGGGCAGUAGUUGAAGUUGGGAGGUUAUAGCUGGGUUUAGCAGGCAGUAGUUGAAGUUG